rnacentral:rRNA from 1 species
UUUGUCACAUCCAACCUGCCCGCCCCAGCCAGAAACAAGUUCUUCUCGAAGGUGCUCAACAAAGGUGAUGUGUUUGUCUUCCCCGUGGGGCUCAUCCACUUCCAAUUCAACCCCAACCCCCAUCAGCCCGCCGUUGCAAUUGCCGCGCUCAGCAGCCAGAACCCAGGGGCUAUCACAAUUGCCAAUGCAGUGUUUGGGUCAGACCCACCAAUAUCCGAUGAUGUUCUUGCCAAGGCGUUUCAGGUGGAAAAGAAUACAAUAGACUGGCUCCAGGCUCAGUUCUGGGAGAACAACCACAACUAA